GUUGACCUCGGAUCAGGUAGGAAUACCCGCUGAACUUAAGCAUAUCAAUAAGCGGAGGAAAAGAAACCAACAGGGAUUCCCCUAGUAACGGCGAGUGAAGCGGGAACAGCUCAAAUUUGAAAUCUGGCCCUUGGGUCCGAGUUGUAAUUUGCAGAGGAUGCUUUUGGUGCGGUGCCUUCCGAGUUCCCUGGAACGGGACGCCUUAGAGGGUGAGAGCCCCGUACGGUUGGCCACCAAGCCUGUGUAAAGCUCCUUCGACGAGUCGAGUAGUUUGGGAAUGCUGCUCAAAAUGGGAGGUAUAUUUCUUCUAAAGCUAAAUACUGGCCAGAGACCGAUAGCGCACAAGUAGAGUGAUCGAAAGAUGAAAAGCACUUUGAAAAGAGGGUUAAAUAGCACGUGAAAUUGUUGAAAGGGAAGGAUUUAUGACCAGACUUUUUCUAGGGGGAUCAUCCGGUGUUCUCACCGGUGCACUUCCCCUAGUUGAGGCCAGCAUCGGUUUCUGUCGGGGGAUAAAAGCUUCAGGAAUGUGGCUCCCUCCGGGGAGUGUUAUAGCCUGUUGCAUAAUACCCUGACGGGGACCGAGGUUCGCGCAUUGCAAGGAUGCUGGCGUAAUGGUUAUUAAUCACCCGUCUUGAAACACGGACCAAGGAGUCGAACAUUUGUGCGAGUGUUUGGGUGUUAAACCCUCACGCGUAAUGAAAGUGAACGGAGGUGAGAGCCCUUCGGGGUGCAUCAUCGACCGAUCCUGAUGUCUUCGGAUGGAUUUGAGUAAGAGCAUAACUGUUCGGACCCGAAAGAUGGUGAACUAUGCGUGGAUAGGGUGAAGCCAGAGGAAACUCUGGUGGAGGCUCGCAGCGGUUCUGACGUGCAAAUCGAUCGUCAAAUCUGCGCAUGGGGGCGAAAGACUAAUCGAACCAUCUAGUAGCUG
rnacentral:rRNA from 2 species